CCUCUCUGCGCCCCUCUCCGCCCCACCUCCCUCCUAGGUGAAGGAAGAUUAUUUCCCCCCCCAUCUUGACCACCCCCCAGUCUUCGCCGCCAAAAACGGACUCCGCCGGCUCUCCUCGGCCCGGUACCAGUUGUUGGAUCCAAGAGAAUUCCGGAACCCAAACGGCUCGCUCAAAGCGCUUUAUUGGCAGUGAAACCACAAGUAACCCGGAGCCCUCGGCGCGUCCACGGCUAGAAUCAGAGCCUAAGGCGUGUGAGCUCGGCCAUCCCACGUCUGUCUUCACGCUCACCCGCAAGCCCAACACACUGGGGCUCCCAGUUAAUGAAUACUUAAGAGUAGGGCUGUCCCUACCGCUUCUCACUUCCUUGUUUUCACCUUUUCGUUAUUAUUAAGCGACCUAACACAAUAAACAUAUUACCUUGUUGGUAACCCUUUUGUAAAGUCAUUCUGAAAGUGCUGUUUGACUCCGUUGCUUGGGUAAUAAGCACGCCUGGGUGAUUCUUGCCCCCUACUGGCUGCGCAUCCUACAAGCCUCGUGCUGAAAGCAAACCAAGUAGCUGGAACAGUUGGAGGUUACAAUGUGAACUCUUCAGAGACAACGUAUUCGGGGAAAGAAAGGAAAAAGUAGGCACAGAAAGAAUAGGAAACUUUAGUGUUUGUACACAGAAAUAUGUAUUAUAUAUCUAUGUAUACAUUUAUAAAUAGUUUUAAAGUGCUAACUAAUCGCUUUACUAAUUACAUUAUUUCAUUUA
rnacentral:lncRNA from 1 species